rnacentral:tRNA from 1 species
GGGUGAUUAGCUUAGUUGGUAGAGCAGGGGCCUCUUAAGCCCAAGGUCCCGGGUUCGAAUCCCGGAUCACCCA